GUAGGUGGCAAGCGUUGUCCGGAAUUAUUGGGCGUAAAGCGCGCGCAGGCGGUUCUUUAAGUCUGAUGCGAAAGCCCACGGCUCAACCGUGGAGGGUCAUUGGAAACUGGAGAACUUGAGUACAGAAGAGGAAAGCGGAAUUCCACGUGUAGCGGUGAAAUGCGUAGAGAUGUGGAGGAACACCAGUGGCGAAGGCGGCUUUCUGGUCUGUAACUGACGCUGAGGCGCGAAAGCGUGGGGAGCAAACAGGAUUAGAUACCCUGGUAGUCCACGCCGUAAACGAUGAGUGCUAAGUGUUAGGGGGGUUUCCGCCCCCCUUAGUGCUGCAGCUAACGCAUUAAGCACUCCGCCUGGGAGUACGGCCGCAAGGCUG
rnacentral:rRNA from 1 species